GAAACGACUGCUAAGACUGGAUAGGAGACAAGAAGGCAUCUUCUUGUUUUUAGAAGACCUAGCAAUAGGUAUGCUUAGGGAGGAGCUUGCGUCACAUUAGUUAGUUGGUGGGGUAAAGGCCUACCAAGACUAUGAUGUGUAGCCGGGCUGAGAGGUUGAACGGCCACAUUGGGACUGAGACACGGCCCAAACUCCUACGGGAGGCAGCAGUAGGGAAUUUCCGGCAAUGGAGGAAACUCUGACCGAGCAACGCCGCGUGAACGAUGAAGUAUUUCGGUACGUAAAGUUCUUUUAUUAGGGAAGAAUAAAUGAUGGAAAAAUCAUUCUGACGGUACCUAAUGAAUAAGCCCCGGCUAACUAUGUGCCAGCAGCCGCGGUAAUACAUAGGGGGCAAGCGUUAUCCGGAAUUAUUGGGCGUAAAGGGUGCGUAGGCGGUUAAAUAAGUUUGUGGUCUAAGUGCAAUGCUCAACAUUGUGAUGCUAUAAAAACUGUUUAGCUAGAGUAAGAUAGAGGCAAGUGGAAUUCCAUGUGUAGUGGUAAAAUGCGUAAAUAUAUGGAGGAACACCAGUAGCGAAGGCGGCUUGCUGGGUCUUUACUGACGCUGAGGCACGAAAGCGUGGGGAGCAAACAGGAUUAGAUACCCUGGUAGUCCACGCCGUAAACGAUGAGUACUAAACGUUGGGUAAAACCAGUGUUGAAGUUAACACAUUAAGUACUCCGCCUGAGUAGUACGUACGCAAGUAUGAAACUUAAAGGAAUUGACGGGACUCCGCACAAGCGGUGGAUCAUGUUGUUUAAUUCGAAGGUACCCGAAAAACCUCACCAGGUCUUGACAUGCUUCUGCAAAGCUGUAGAAACACAGUGGAGGUUAUCAGUUGCACAGGUGGUGCAUGGUUGUCGUCAGCUCGUGUCGUGAGAUGUUGGGUUAAGUCCCGCAACGAGCGCAACCCUUAUUGUUAGUUACCAGCACGUAAUGGUGGGGACUUUAGCAAGACUGCCAGUGAUAAAUUGGAGGAAGGUGGGGACGACGUCAAAUCAUCAUGCCCCUUAUGACCUGGGCUACAAACGUGAUACAAUGGCUGUUACAAAGGGUAGCUGAAGCGCAAGUUUUUGGCGAAUCUCAAAAAAACAGUCUCAGUUCGGAUGAAGUCUGCAACUCGACUUCAUGAAGUUGGAAUCGCUAGUAAUCGCGAAUCAGCAUGUCGCGGUGAAUACGUUCACGGGGUUUGUACACACCGCCCGUCA
rnacentral:rRNA from 1 species